GCACGAAAGGUGUAACGACUUGCGCACUGUCUCAACGAGGGACCCGGUGAAAUUGAAGUACCUGUGAAGAUGCAGGUUACCCGCGACUGGACAGAAAGACCCCAUGGAGCUUUACUGCAACCUAAGAUUGAACUUAGUUAAUGAAUGUACAGGAUAGGUGGGAGACGUAGAAUCUAGGACGCCAGUUUUAGAGGAGUCACUGUUGGGAUACCACCCUUUCAUUAAUUGAUUUCUAACGGGCCGAGUAACGACCGGCCGGACAGUCUUAGGCGGGCAGUUUGACUGGGGCGGUCGCCUCCUAAAGAGUAACGGAGGCGCCCAAAGGUUCCCUCAGAGCGGACGGAAAUCGCUCGAAGAGUGUAAAGGCAGAAGGGAGCUUGACUGCGAGACGGACAGGUCGAGCAGGGACGAAAGUCGGGCUUAGUGAUCCGGUGGUGCCGAGUGGAAGGGCCAUCGCUCAACGGAUAAAAGCUACCCUGGGGAUAACAGGCUAAUCUCUCCCAAGAGUCCAUAUCGACGGGGAGGUUUGGCACCUCGAUGUCGGCUCAUCACAUCCUGGGGCUGAAGUAGGUCCCAAGG
rnacentral:rRNA from 1 species